GAUGUCAGUGAUAUACUGUGAAACAUCAUUGACGUGGGAGAAAAGAAAGCUCGUGCUGACGUCCCUACCGUACAGUGUGUUCUUAUCAACACGUCCAGUGGCAGAUUAUUUUAAUUGGCUUUUGUGCACGAAGCUGUAAAUUUCCCUCACAGCAUUUACGGCAAAUCAGAAGUGCACUUACGUCUGAACCAUGUUGAGUCAUAGAGUAAUAAAGCUUUUUUAAUACAUCACUGUCCUCACUGUCAAUUUCCCAAACGCUUGGUGAAGGCCUAGAGAGCCGCGUGUUUCUACAAGCAUUAGCAGGAAUUUUAGAGAGAUUCAGAUCUGAAUUAGCCUGGUUAAAACCAGACCAUUCUCAGUAGUAACUCAUUUCAAAGGGGCGUUACCAACGAACGUCUCUGAAAUGCCUCUGUGUCCAAUUGGAUAGACCUAAAACCAAUUACAGUGAUGGAGAUGACGUAUUCAGAGCUAUAUCAGACUUUUGCUGGUUCCAGUUGUGACUGCGAAAGCGUCCAAAACCCACACGAACUCGAGGCCUGAAAGAAAUGAAAGCUGAUUGUAGACGAAAGGUCAACUCGCAUCAAGAGGAAACAAUAAAGCAUUCAUUUUUAAGGUCAUGAGAUGUCACCGCACCCUCAACAUCAGUGUCGUGACAUGACGCUCAGAUGUGUGUGUCGUUGAAGACCGUUUUAAGACAAAGAAGAGAUCAGUAGCAUACAUUGCAGAACAAAAGCUGAACUUGCUGUUGGUGUCUUUAAACAUCUUUAGCACCUUUUUUUGAUUUUAGUCUUUGCUUGAACUGAACUGAAUUAAUCUAAGCUAAACUCGAUUAGGUCCAGACAGACUUCUUGGGGGGUUUUGAGGGCACAGUUCAUAUGACAUCAACCAGCUAUUUGCUCUGAACAAUGCCAACCACAUUCACACAGAAAUACAGACAGACUUUACCAAAUGAGGGUUCACCUCAAGUCUGAAAAAAACCACUCCGACAAUUCACGUCUAAUUAUAUAAAUCGAAAGCGUAUGCAUGAAGUCACUUUGCUAUGAAGAAUGGACAGGAAGUCCUUACUGUAAGUUCUUUACAUGGUUUAAAAUUAGGCUUCUCAUAAUUUUGGAGGAGAUGCGCUUUAUUCCUCUGUGUAUGCGUAGGAUGAUUUUGAUUUUAAGUUUAGAUUUACAAUCAAAUACAAGUGAAAUGGUU